AACAAUAAAAUUAACCCUUUCUCUCUUCCUCUUCAUCAUCAUCGCUCACACUAUCCAUCAAAUUUGAUUUUCUUUCUUCCCUAAAACUUCCAACAAUCGAGCAAAAAGGAUUCACAUCUUCAAUCUCAAUUCUCAAAUAAGCAAAAUCAAAGUGUCAACCUCAAAUCCUCAAUCUUGAGAUUGAAAAUCUAAGGUAAAGUGAGUAUUUCAAUUUUUCGAUAUUCUAUUCUCUUUUUUUCAGCUGAACCCUAAAACCCCAAUUUGUUAAAACUUCUAUUUUCUCAAUUCCUUUAUAAUCAAUUGGUGUGAAGAACAAUAGUAUUUAGUUGUGAUUUUCAUCUGUUAUGUUCCGUAGGUUAUUGUAUGUCUUGGAUUUGUUCAUCUAACUUUGAUAGUGUGUUUUUGGUGUUGGUGAUAUGGUUAUUUGUUUGGGUAGUGUCCUGCUCCUGCUAUAUUAUGCAAGUGUUAAUAUGAGUUCCACUCUUUGAA
rnacentral:lncRNA from 1 species